ACGACCUCAGAUCAGACGAGAUGACCCGCUGAAUUUAAGCAUAUUACUAAGCGGAGGAAAAGAAACUAACCAGGAUUCCCUCAGUAGCGGCGAGUGAAGAGGGAAGAGC
rnacentral:rRNA from 1 species